rnacentral:rRNA from 1 species
AUUGAACGCUAGCGGGAUGCCUUACACAUGCAAGUCGAACGGAGUGGCGAACGGGUGAGUAAUGUAUCGGAACGUGCCCAGUCGCGGGGGAUAACUACGCGCAAGCAUAGCUAAUACCGCCUACUAUUGGAGCGGCGGAUAUCGGAUUGGCUAGUUGGUGGGGUAGCGGCUCACCAAGGCGACGAUCCGUAGCUGGUUUGUGAGGACGACCAGCCACACUGGGACUGAGACACGGCCCAGACUCCUACGGGAGGCAGCAGUGGGGAAUUUUGGACAAUGGGGGAAACCCUGAUCCAGCCAUGCCGCGUGUGCGAUGAAGGCCUUCGGGUUGUAAAGCACUUUUGGUAGGGAAGCGGUACCGGCAGAAUAAGCACCGGCUAACUACGUGCCAGCAGCCGCGGUAAUAC